CCUGGCCUUGACAUACUAAGAACUUUCCAGAGAUGGAUUGGUGCCUUCGGGAACUUAGAUACAGGUGCUGCAUGGCUGUCGUCAGCUCGUGUCGUGAGAUGUUGGGUUAAGUCCCGCAACGAGCGCGACCCUUUUCCUUAUUUGCCAGCGGGUUAAGCCGGGAACUUUAAGGAUACUGCCAGUGACAAACUGGAGGAAGGCGGGGACGACGUCAAGUCAUCAUGGCCCUUACGGCCAGGGCUACACACGUGCUACAAUGGUCGGUACAAAGGGUUGCUACCUCGCGAGAGGAUGCUAAUCUCAAAAAGCCGAUCGUAGUCCGGAUCGCAGUCUGCAACUCGACUGCGUGAAGUCGGAAUCGCUAGUAAUCGCGGAUCAGAAUGCCGCGGUGAAUACGUUCCCGGGCCUUGUACACACCGCCCGUCACACCAUGGGAGUUUGUUGCACCAGAAGUAGGUAGUCUAACCGCAAGGAGGACGCUUACCACGGUGUGGCCGAUGACUGGGGUGAAGUCGUAACAAGGUAAGCGUAGAUGA
rnacentral:rRNA from 1 species